GACGAACGCUGGCGGCGUGCUUAACACAUGCAAGUCGAACGGAAAGGCCCUGCUUUUGUGGGGUGCUCGAGUGGCGAACGGGUGAGUAACACGUGAGUAACCUGCCCUUGACUUUGGGAUAACUUCAGGAAACUGGGGCUAAUACCGGAUAGGAGCUCCUGCUGCAUGGUGGGGGUUGGAAAGUUUCGGCGGUUGGGGAUGGACUCGCGGCUUAUCAGCUUGUUGGUGGGGUAGUGGCUUACCAAGGCUUUGACGGGUAGCCGGCCUGAGAGGGUGACCGGCCACAUUGGGACUGAGAGACGGCCCAGACUCCUACGGGAGGCAGCAGUGGGGAAUAUUGCACAAUGGGCGGAAGCCUGAUGCAGCGACGCCGCGUGCGGGAUGACGGCCUUCGGGUUGUAAACCGCUUUCGACUGUGACGAAGCGUGAGUGACGGUAAUGGGUAAAGAAGCACCGGCUAACUACGUG
rnacentral:rRNA from 1 species